rnacentral:rRNA from 1 species
AUUGAACGCUGGCGGCAUGCCUUACACAUGCAAGUCGAACGGUAACAGGUCUUCGGAUGCUGACGAGUGGCGAACGGGUGAGUAAUACAUCGGAACGUGCCUAGUAGUGGGGGAUAACUACUCGAAAGAGUGGCUAAUACCGCAUGAGAUCUACGGAUGAAAGCAGGGGAUCGCAAGACCUUGUGCUACUAGAGCGGCCGAUGGCAGAUUAGGUAGUUGGUGGGAUAAAAGCUUACCAAGCCGACGAUCUGUAGCUGGUCUGAGAGGACGAUCAGCCACACUGGGACUUAGACACGGCCCAGACUCACACGGGAGGAAGCAGUGGGGAAUUGUGGACAAUGGCCGAGAGCCUUAUCCAGCAAUGCGGCGUGCAGGGUGAGGGCCUUCGGGUUGUAAACUGCUUUUGUACGGAACGAAAAGCCCUGGGUUAAUACCCUGGGGUCAUGACGGUACCGUAAGAAUAAGCACCGGCUAACUACGUUCCAGCCGCCGCCGUAACAC